rnacentral:rRNA from 1 species
AAUGAGCGGAGGAAAAGAAACUAACAAGGAUUCCCCUAGUAGCUGCGAGCGAACAGGGAAGAGCCCAGCACCGAAUCCUGCGCGCCUCGCGCGCGUCUGGAAAUGUGGUGUUUGGGAGGAUCCGAUUAUCUCGCUCGCGCGCGCCAGUCCAAGUCCAUCUUGAAAGCGGCCACAGCCCACAGAGGGUGCCAGGCCCGUGGGACGGCGUCGUGUCGCGGGCGAAAGGGUCUCUCCCCAGAGUCGGGUUGCUUGAGAGUGCAGCUCUAAGCGGGUGGUAAACUCCAUCUAAGGCUAAAUACAUCCACAAGACCGAUAGCGAACAAGUACCGUGAGGGAAAGUUGAAAAGAACUUUGAAGAGAGAGUUCAAGAGUACGUGAAACCGUUCGGGGGUAAACGGGCGAAAUCUGGAAAAUCGAACGGAGAGAUUCAAGCCCCACUCGCUCGUGCGUUGCACGGCGGCCGCCGAUGGGGGCGGGUCGCCCGCGUCGCGCCGCAAGGCGUGCCGGUGUCGAUCCCGCCGUCCACGCGCCGCGUCGUCGUGCUCGCCGGCGUCGGGCCGCACUUCUCUCCCGGUAGUACGUCGCGACCCGUUGGGCGUCUGUCCAAGGCCCGCGCGUGGAGCCGGUCGUUGCGCGCGUCGCGGCGCUCGGGGUUCGCCCCGCGCGCCCACCGCCGCGGCCGACCGCUGCGGUGUCCCGGCAGGCUCGCCCGACGGUAUAUUGUGUCGAUCCGAACUUUGCACACAGCGCCCGCGUAUCGCCCCCGUUAACGCGGGUGGUGCGACGCGGGCGCGUGCGGCGCCUCCGCGCGCACGGAUCGCGUAAGGCGACGCCACGGACCAAGGAGUCUAGCAUGUGUGCAAGUCAUUGGGACCGCAUCGAAACCUAAAGGCGUAACGAAAGUGAAGGCCGGCAGCGGCGACGCGCGGACCCACGGGGACGCGCGCCCGCCCUCCGCCGAGGGGAGAUGCGACCCGUCCGUAGCGACGCGGCCGCCGCAUCCCCGGGGCGUCUCGUUGUCAUUGCGACACAGCAGGCGCACCCAGAGCGUACACGUUGGGACCCGAAAGAUGGUGAACUAUGCCUGGUCAGGUCGAAGUCAGGGGAAACCCUGAUGGAGGACCGUAGCGAUUCUGACGUGCAAAUCGAUCGUCAGAGCUGGGUAUAGGGGCGAAAGACUAAUCGAACCAUCUAGUAGCUGGUUCCCUCCGAAGUUUCCCUCAGGAUAGCUGGCGCUCGGAGAUUAACUAUGGCGAGCGGUGCCGAGGUCGCGCAAGCGGCCGGAGCCCGCGCGCAACCAGUCUCAUCUGGUAAAGCGAAUGAUUAGAGGCCUUGGGGCCGAAACGACCUCAACCUAUUCUCAAACUUUAAAUGGGUGAGAUAUUCGACUUGCUCGAAUUCAAAUGAAGCCGAAUUACAAAAUUAUAACAGGAUGAACGAGUGCCAAGUGGGCCAAUUUUGGUAAGCAGAACUGGUGCUGUGGGAUGAACCAAACGUCGAGUUAAGGCGCCUAAAUCGAUGCUCAUGGGAUACCAUGAAAGGCGUUGGUUGCUUAAGACAGCAGGACGGUGGCCAUGGAAGUCGGAAUCCGCUAAGGAGUGUGUAACAACUCACCUGCCGAAGCAACUAGCCCUGAAAAUGGAUGGCGCUCAAGCAUCGUGCCUAUACUCGACCGUCGCUGGCAAAAGGCGGCGCUCGCGGCGCAAGUCGCGGGCGCCGUCACGAAGUCGCGACGAGUAGGAGGGUCGCGACGGUGAGCGCAGAAGUGUCGGUCGCGAGACUGCAUGGAGCCGCCGUCGGUGCAGAUCUUGGUGGUAGUAGCAAAUACACUAGCGAGGCCCUGGUGGACUGAUGUGGAGAAGGGUUUCGUGUGAACAGCCGUUGCACACGAGUCAGUCGAUCCUAAGCCCCAGGAGAAAUCCGAUGUUGAUGUGCUGUCGAUAUUACUACUACUACUGUUGUCGUAUGACCACGUCGGGCGAAAGGGGAUCCGGUUCCUAUUCCGGAACCCGGCAGCGGAACCGACCAUGCGGGCCAAUGUCGCGCGAGCGGCAACUCGUCGGGGUAACCCAAAAGGACCCGGAGACGCCGUCGGAUGAUCGAGGCAGAGUUUUCUGUUCUGUAUGAGCGUUCGAGUUCCCUGGAAUCGCCUAGCGCGGAGAUAGGGUUUGGAACGCGAAGAGCACCGCACUUGCGGCGGUGUCUCGAUCUAUCCCUCGGACCUUGAAAAUCCGGGAGAGGGCCACGUGGAGGUGUCGCGCCGGUUCGUACCCAUAUCCGCAGCAGGUCUCCAAGGUGAGGAGCCUCUAGUC